UUAUAAUAGAAAAAACUUCUCGGAGAAAAUUUCAUACAUUUUUUUUCUUGAUUUCAAUUUUCAGACUUUUUUUAUAGAUGAUUCGAAUUGUAAUGUAAUAAUGAAAUACUAUUUAUUUUCAAAAGGAAUUAGUUUAUAUAAUCGACAUAAAUGUACGAUGAUAUAUUAUUAUACGAUUCUUUUUCAUCUAAUAUUUAACUUUUUAUUUAAAAAAAAUAUAUAAAUAAAAAAUAAAAAAAAUAAAAAAAGAAACCAAAAACAUAAAAAGUUGAUAGGAAAUAAAAAAAUGAUCGAAGAGAGGUUAUGUUUCGGUCCAAGUGCAUUAUUCUAUUCAAGUUCAUAUAAUUAUAUAUAAGGCGAUAUUGCGUUGCUUUUAAAACAAUAUGCAAAAAUUAGAAUUGAUAUGCGACUAAGGUCAAGAUCAGUCAGGUUGUAACAUAUCAUAGCAACUUGCCGCAUAUGUUUCUUUUGAAUAAUUCAUUCAUUGGAGAUAUAUUUAUUUUGUUGAUUUUAAAUUUCUUUCGAGAAACUAUCUUUUUCGGGGUUUUCUUUUUUCACCAUUCAUAAAUGUUUUUCUAUUAUUUGAUUAUUCAGAAGUCACAUUAUCUUUUAUAUGUACUGGUAUACGUGCAUUUUUACUUGUCGAGUUGAUGUCAAGUUGGAAAAUGAUGGAUUAAGAUUAGAUGAAAUUUUAGAAGACAAAUAUUGAUUGAAUAAGUACAGAUUGGUUCGAAUAAGUGCAUAGUAUUAGUUCGAAAACUCUUAACAUGAAGGAAGAAAAUAUCAAAUGUGGAAAUAUCAAAUAUUAUUAAUAUUUCGCAAACAAUUCGCUAUAAAAAGUCAAAAAAAAAAAACACGUUCAUGUUCGCGAGAUCCUAAUCUGAUUAACUUUUAUAAGUUUUUUAAGUUGAUACAUCAUAAGAUCAAAACCGAUGUCGAAACAAAAGUCAAAUACUAUCAACAAAGUUUGACGUAGAAGUUAUUAUAGUUCAAAAAAAAAAAAAAAAACGACAAAAUAGGUAUCAUUGUUUGCGAAACGUGACUCGUGUAAAUUUUGUCUAAAGAUCGUUGGAUGCUACGUUAAAAAAUUCAUCAAUCCUUGAAGUUAUUAAUUAAACGAAAUUUUUAUGUGAAGAAUAUAAAUGAUUUAUGCAAUUAUAAAUCUUACAAUUGAUUAUCGACGAUCUAGCGAUGAAUGUGAUAAACGAGAAAAAAAAAUAAUGGCAUAAAAAAGAAAACACUCAAGAAUUUUCUGAUAUGUAAUAUAAUCAAAUGAAAUAAUUAACAUAUGGAUUAGGUUAGAUAACCCAAUUAAUGAAUUAUGGAAAAAUACAAAUGAGAAAAAAAUCGAGAUUGUCAAGGAUUAAAAUUAUGAAAGCAAAACAAGAAAAAAUAAAUUUAUAUAAUAUGUAACAGAAAAUAAAAGAAAAUUAAUUAUAUUGUAUUAAUUAAAUAAUCAGUAAUUCAAUUAUUCUUUUGAAAAAAGAGACAAAAGAAUGAAAAAAAAAGUAAAAAAAGUAAAUAAAAAGGAAAAUACAUAUAAAAUAUAUUCUCGAUAAGUUUGCCAUUAUUACGAUAAUGAAUUGUUAGAAAACUGAAAUAAAUCGUCACUUUUUUAAAUAUUUUUAAAUAUUUUCUCGCUAAGAAUUACUGAAAUUGGCUUUCAUUGAAAUAAAAGAAGAAAUCAACGCAUUAUAGGGAGGAUGAUAAGAUUUAAUGAUAAACAUGUUUUUAGUUAUAUUUGUCGUCAAGAAGUCUUUUACGGAGAUUUUGUUUUCAAAUACUAAUUAUAAAUUUUAAUGAUAAUACAGUAAUAAUAGUAAUGAUAUAAUUAUCUUGAUGAUAUUUUUUAUCAAUAUAUUGCAAAAUUGAAUAACUAUAUCUCGACUAUUAAUGCAGAUUUCUCUUCCAUUUUCAUAAAAAUAAAAUGCAUCAAAGUUUAUUCUUAAUAAAUAAUUGAGUGUGGGCCAAUGAAAAAUUAUCUUCUUAAAUAUUAGUAAUACAGUUGUCACAAUUGUUGAUUGAAACACUUGAUUGAAAGACAAGAUUGAAAUGAACGGAAUAAAUAUAAGAUUAAUAAAAAAUAUGGAACAUUAUAAAGUGCAAUACAAAUAUUAGAGUAAAAAAAAAAAGAAAAAUUUCAUAUUAGAAGUAUAGAUAGAAAAUCAAGAUACGAUUUAUUGUAACAUUUAUAUUCUUUUUAUAUUCAAUCUUUAAUUAUGAACAUAUAAUCAUUUAAAUAAUUCGAAUAUGUUUGACGUCCUAGUUACCAACCUUGAUAUAGCGUUGAAUACGUUAAUUUCAUUUACAUGAAUGUUUUUUUCACUUAUUCAUUGACGUGAUUAGAAUUGAAUAAUUCUUAAUCCUUAGAGAAAGCAACUUCUCUAUUUCUAUUAUCGCAUAAAUGUAUCCAAUUGAAAUUGUAUACGUGCGUUUGUGUAAAUUUUUUUUUGUGGAAUUUAUGUCAGUUGCAAUGAUCAUUUGUAAUUACAGUAAUUAACGAAGAUUUUCGAAUUAAUAAUUUUGUGCUUGAUCGAGAAUGUAAAGUCAUGCUCGGGUUAGAUCGAUUACCAUUAAAAUAUUAUUUCAUGUAACGAUAUAAUAAUGCAUAAAGAAACAUAAAGAUUAAUGACAAUUGAUUAUGAUAAUUAUUAUCGAUAUCAAUUUACAUUUUAAAAUUUCCGCAUAUUAAUACGUCGAUAAUUAUUUUCACGUUUAAUUUAAAUUACUUUCUUUCAUGUUUUCUUACAAUUUUCAAUGUUAUGAUUUUUAUAUAAAGAUACUAAUUAUUACAUUAAUUAUAAAUCAUGUAAAAUUAGUAGGGUAUAAUUCUUAGAUUUAUAAUAUUUUGAAAAUAUAUUUAUAAAGAUAAAAAAAUCUUAUUGAUUAUUUUUGGCAUAUUCUGAAAUCAAAUCGAUCAAAACUUUGUCAAAAUGAAUGAAUUCGAUUUCUGAAAAAUUAACCCUUACAAUCUAAAAUUACAGAAAAAAAAAUUGAGUUCUCGAACCUAACUUUUAACUUUUAAAGUUAUUUUAAGAUAAAUUUAUAUAAUUUUAUCAUCAUUAUUUGCUUAUUAAAACAUCUCCUAUUAUAAUUCUAAAAUUAAAAAAAAAGUAUAUAUCUUCAAUCUCUGAUCGAG